CAUAGGAUUUUAACCAGAAUUUUAGAGUGGACAUCGCCGCUGUUCGAUAUUAAUCAUAAGGAACUUGGCCCAGAAAUGUUCUUGACAUGAGCAAGAGAAGUCUAUGGAGUCAUUUUACCGAAAAGAAUAGGUGAGUUGACAUGACAGUAACCGCCAACGCUGGUCCAAUUUGUCUCCACUAAGAGGAGCUCCCUUUCGUGUGCAUCAAAGGGUGGUAUUUGAUGUUUUUUGUGGUGCCUUGGUUCUUUGUUGUCGAUUUCAAUCCUCCUCUGUCAAAAUCCAGGCUGAUUUGUUAUAACUGAAAAUGUCUUUUAAAAAUCUUGGCAAUUUUGAAAAUUGCUGGAAUUGGUUUGGAUUGCUGGGGCAGACUCCCUUUUCACAUGUGUCGUGUCCUGCAUAUAGAGGGCGCUAGUGUACACCCUGUGAAUAACUGCUGAGGAUCUGUGAAUAAAGAUCAGUCAUGGUGUAGACAAGUAAA